GACGAACGCUGGCGGCGUGCCUAAUACAUGCAAGUAGAACGCACAGUUUAUACCGUAGCUUGCUACACCAUAAACUGUGAGUUGCGAACGGGUGAGUAACGCGUAGGUAGCCUGCCUGGUAGCGGGGGAUAACUAUUGGAAACGAUAGCUAAUACCGCAUAAUAUUGAUUAUUGCAUGAUAAUUGAUUGAAAGAUGCUAUUGCAUCACUACCAGAUGGACCUGCGUUGUAUUAGCUAGUAGGUGAGGUAACGGCUCACCUAGGCGACGAUACAUAGCCGACCUGAGAGGGUGAUCGGCCACACUGGGACUGAGACACGGCCCAGACUCCUACGGGAGGCAGCAGUAGGGAAUCUUCGGCAAUGGACGAAAGUCUGACCGAGCAACGCCGCGUGAGUGAAGAAGGUUUUCGGAUCGUAAAGCUCUGUUGUAAGAGAAGAACGGGUGUGAGAGUGGAAAGUUCACACUGUGACGGUAUCUUACCAGAAAGGGACGGCUAACUACGUG
rnacentral:rRNA from 1 species